rnacentral:rRNA from 1 species
UGCAAGUCGAGCGGUAACAUUGAUAGCUUGCUAUCAGAUGACGAGCGGCGGACGGGUGAGUAAUACUUAGGAAUCUACCUAGUAGUGGGGGAUAGCACGGGGAAACUCGUAUUAAUACCGCAUACGACCUACGGGAGAAAGGGGGCAACUUGUUGCUCUCGCUAUUAGAUGAGCCUAAGUCGGAUUAGCUAGAUGGUGGGGUAAAGGCCUACCAUGGCGACGAUCUGUAGCUGGUCUGAGAGGAUGAUCAGCCACACCGGGACUGAGACACGGCCCGGACUCCUACGGGAGGCAGCAGUGGGGAAUAUUGGACAAUGGGGGCAACCCUGAUCCAGCCAUGCCGCGUGUGUGAAGAAGGCCUUUUGGUUGUAAAGCACUUUAAGCAGUGAAGAAGACUCCGUGGUUAAUACCCACGGACGAUGACAUUAGCUGCAGAAUAAGCACCGGCUAACUCUGUGCCAGCAGCCGCGGUAAUACAGAGGGUGCAAGCGUUAAUCGGAAUUACUGGGCGUAAAGGGAGCGUAGGUGGCUCUGUAAGUCAGAUGUGAAAUCCCCGGGCUCAACCUGGGAACUGCAUCUGAAACUGUAGAGCUAGAAUAGGUGAGAGGAAGGUAGAAUUUCAGGUGUAGCGGUGAAAUGCGUAGAGAUCUGAAGGAAUACCGAUGGCGAAGGCAGCCUUCUGGUAUCAUAUUGACAC